rnacentral:lncRNA from 1 species
CUGGCAUUAAAUGCUGGGCUUUUAUUGGGGUCAUAAAUCACUGGCAUCAUGUACAUGUACAUUAUACUUACAAAUGUAGGACCUAAAUUAGAUACAGGGAAGUCUUAAAAGAUUCAGAACUAUUACAAACUUUUAGUUGGCCAUCAGAACCACCACACUGUCUGGUCCACUACAUUCUAAAUUGAUAGACCUACAUGUACAUGUACUUUGGUUUUUGGACUUUGGUUUUUGGACAAACAGUACAAGUUUUUGACCAAGAUGAAGAAUUGCUAAAAAUAUACCCACUUAGGGCAGUCAGUGGGCCCCCCUUAUAAAAAUUGAUGGAUCCGCCUCUGUCCCCACCCUAUCUAAACCGUUCAUGUCGUAAAAUUAGAAUAGACCUUAAACCUGCACUGUGCAGUAUGCCAUGUAUGCAGUGUACACUGAAGUCAGUAUUGUACCAAUAUUUGAUAAGCAGAAAUUUCUGUAGUCAGUGGCCCCCCUUAUAAAAAUUUAUGGAUCCGCCACUGUCCCCACCC